AUCCUGUAAAUCUUCAGAGUGAUACAUUAUCUCUAGCUUCCAAAGCCUUUGUUAUUCAUAUCUCCUCUUUACUUAGAAAGCCUGGAUUAUGUAAAAGCAUGACAAUAUUCAAGGGAGUAUCUUUCAGCAAUUCAUUAUGAAGAACAGCAAGGACACUCUUGGCCCACAGGAAUUUCUGGUGGCACCUCAUUAAUCUUGACCUCCCAAGAAAUCAAAUAGAUGAGAACUUACUAGAAUAUUUCAUGACUUAUAUAAAAGAGAGAAAAAAGCCUUCUAGAUCUGGCCAAAAAUCUGACUUGAAUCAGUACAAUGAAAAAUCAUGGCCUUGUACCCAGUUUUUAGACUAAAUUAAAGCCAGGCUACCAAUAUAGAGCACCUUGAUUGAAAGGGAGGCUGGUCCUGCCUGGGACAUCAAAUAAUUAUGCAGCCUGAGUUUUCCCUCUCUAACCCAUUUAUUCAUAAAGUUGUGUGUGUGCAGCAAGUAUCAUCAAGUAGAAAUAAUAGAUAAAACAUGUGUUUGAGCAAGACCAGGAUAUACAGGUAAGUUGCAUAAGCCAAUGUUUCAGUUGUUUUUUUUGAAACUGAUUUUUUUCUUCAUGGCCUCCUUUCCUUCAGUCCCCAUCUUUUGCCUCAUGAGAAUUCCAUGCAACCAGUUGACUGAAAAUGAAACACUGGAGCCUGGUUUACAUCUGGGUCUGCANGUCAACCAGUUGACUGAAAAUGAAACACUGGAGCCUGGUUUACAUCUGGGUCUGCAAGAUAUUCUGGUCCUUCCUGAAAGUGCAGUACCUGAAAGUAUAAUUGCAACAUUAUAUCCCCGUCCCCCACUCAGAAUACCUGCAAAUAUCAAGGACCCACUCUUAAUCACAGUUUUAUGCUGUUUUUCUCUAUAUGUUCAAAUAAAACAGAAAAUCUGAAGUUUCAGAGAGUAGAUUCAAAGGAUUUGUCACUUGAUCCAGAACCUGUUUCAAACUGGUAAGUUCUGCUUACUCUGCUUAUGACUCUUUUGAAUAAAAAAUAGUUUCUGAUGAGUUCCA
rnacentral:lncRNA from 1 species